UAUAUUAUAUAUAUAUUUAUUAUAUAUUAUGAUGAAUGUUCCAAGUUCUCUGUUAUUGACAGACAUCAGGGACAUAACAUUUGUUCGAAUUUACUCUGUUAAUAUGUCUGAUAAGUUAGAUUAUGUAAAUUGACAUUGAAACGUGGACAACUGAUUCACAGAAAUCAUUAUUGAUAUCUUAUUAUUCUCAUAUGGAUUAUUCAAAUGUUUUGAUGUUGAAAAUAAAAGAAAGAAAAAAAAGAAAAAAAAAAAAAAAGCAAACAAACAAACAAAAACGACAAAAGGUCGUGGUAUUGUAAGGAGAUCAAGGGAUAUUUUUGUAAAGACUACGACGACGACGACGUUGACGAAAACGACACUCGGAAAACAGUGUUGCCAAAGCGACGACAACAACAUCCGUCCUACCUGGUUCAAUAUUGCAGUAGAGCAGCAAAUUAGCAUUAGCCGCCUGGCUUAUUGCACGUGAAGAAGAAGAAGAAGAAGAAAAAAAAAGAAAAACAAAUACAGAUGUAUAACAGAGAUAUAUACAAAUCGUUGGAUCUCUACCAUGAUGAUCUUAUUAUUGUGAUCUCUGCAAUUCUUUAUUGCUGUCUGUUGACAUCAUCGAACGAUUAUUUUCUUUAGGCGACACAUGUCUGUCCGCAAUGACGACGACGAUGACGACGUGAACGACGAAAAAACAAUCCUCUGAUCAUGUAUCACCGAGUAAAAUUAACUUUAUGUGUUUGUAUAAGAGAUCAAAAAAAAAAAA